UAAGUGCUCAGUGCCACAUCGGAUUCACAGAGUACCCUUCCAAAAUAAGUAGUAGGUAUCAUUUAGUUAUAUCCUAAACCCUAAUCUCAAUUUACAUUUUUCCAAUUACUGCCACCAGUAAAAGGAAAUUUGGGCUAUAAAUGCCUAAUCCUGCCACCCAGGGCUUUGUUUCCAACUGUUUCAAGAAUUUCCAAAGACAUUUUGGAUAAUAAAGAAUCUGCAUGUUUUCAGAAACCAUUUCCUAAUGGAUCAAGGAUGAUCACACCAUUCAUAGAAAUCAUAUAAGAAGUCAUAAAAAGGAAAUACGUCCUUCCCUCUUUUUCAUAGAAAGUUCUCAGUAAUAAUUAGACCAGAGCCUCCUUUCGAUGGUCAAACUCGGGAAGAUGUUUGCAUUCUCCAGGGACGGUAACUUUACCUUCACAAAGCUGCUGCAAUACCAACCAGAAGUUUCAUCUGUGAUGAAAGUGUGGGUGUGGAACAGAGCUAAACCCUAGGUGAACAUACCUGGUAAACUCAAUAUUCUUAUCUAUUGUUUCACACUGAAUCAGAGAACAGCGCUAAGCUUAUAAACACUAAAUUUUUUUAGACGUGAUAAAGGUGAUGAGCUAUAAAAAAAUUGUGUUAUUUAUUCAAUCAAUAGGUAUCCACUAAAUGCUACACAAGAUUGACAUUGAUAAUAUUCAUUUAGAUCUUUCAGAAUAUACCAAGUAUUUCCUGAGUCUCUUCCUUGUUAUGAUAGAAGGUUCUUCUGGGCUUGGCCUAUCUGAGCCAGGGUGAAGGAGGGUAGCUUUGGGUUAGUUAAGAGAAAUGCCCAGUCACCUGCCCCUGGUCCUUCACUUUCAGUCCCUCACUGGUAUGGCCAUGUGAGCAUCAGAGUCCUUAGUGGUGUGGCAGAGGCCCAAGUCUGUUUGCCAUAAUCUUGAAGGGCAAUUGGGAGUUCCUAUCAAGAUACAAACAGAGACAUCCCAGGAGGUUCUGAAGCUGCCAGGGCCUCCUCCAUUGGAAGGGUACAGGGAGAAAUAGUAUCAGAAGGCCAUUUGUAGCUCUGAGGAAAUCCAAGAAUAAACAUUUUUUAGGAGCCAAUCAUUCAAAAAACAAAACGAAACAACAAGAAAAAACAACAAACAUGACUAAUGUUUAGAGCUUGGAUAUUUGGCUAUUUUUUUCAGGGAUGAAAAUUUGUAGAGAGAGAGAAAAAAAAAUCUCUUAUCCGCAGUGCCUUUUUUCAUUGCUGUCUUUACAUUAACACUGCUCUCUGCCCAGGUCUUUCACACCUACUCUGUACCCCUUACUCACUCACCCUGCUUCAGUGUUGAGGAUGCUCAUUUGGAGGAUGGCUAGAGCAGGAGAAGGGAGCUAGAUGCUCUGUGCUGCAGAUAUUCAACAUCUGAAGCUGCUUCUUAACACCUGUGUAUUAACGACAACCUUUCCCCUCCCUCAUGCUAUCCUUUUACAGAAGUUUCUUUGAUCUUUCCAGUGGCUCGAAAUGCUCUCCAUCCUGAUCAUUAUAGACUAAUUAUACAAGACACUUUCAGCCUUGAUUCUCUAAUCUUAUGGAAGGAUUGCAGCUGCCUGCCAGUUUCCAAAAUCUGUGUAAGUAGCCUGGCAAGGGAAACAGGAAGUGAAGUAAGAAGUGAGUUAGGGUCUUCAGCGUUCAGGCAGCCUAGGCACUUCUUGAUCUUUUUCUAGACAGUUUCUCACUCCUGAGAGCCUAUAGAUAGUGAAAUACUUAGGUAAUUACUAGGAUACAGAGAGGAUCUUUUUCUAGACAGUUUCUCACUCCUGAGAGCCUAUAGAUAGUGAAAUACUUAGGUAAUUACUAGGAUACAGAGAGGAUCCUUAUGGUAGAUACUUGUGUUUCAGUGUCUCGGUAUUUCACCUUCUUCUUUCUACAAACAAGACAUGCCAUUUCACUAAAUUUUCUUUUUGAGUCCACACAUCCACCCUCAGUCUAAGUAGUUUGCAUGGGUUUCCAUCUCCAGCCACAAAGAUAUAGUUUGUAGCCUAGAAUUGCCAUAUUGACUCAUCUAGGAAUAGGAUUAACAGAGGUCUAGUAAACAGAUUGAUUCUACUACUGUGGCUGCAGACAUUGAUGCAGGCAUGGACACAUGAUCAUUGAUUCCAUGAGAGUAGUUGGGAGAGUUACUAAAAAGAGACACCAUUAUUAUUUCUGCUGAAACUGAAUCUGUGAGGAGAAACUGGUAGUUGCUUGCAGGUUCUACUAUACUUUGAACCUAAGAGUGAUGACAACAUAGACGAAAGAAGAUCCCAGAGAUGGAGUCUGCUUAAAUCCAGGUGAUAUCCUAUGGUUCCUUGGAUCAAGCCAUUCCUAAAUUGAGACACUUGAGAAACUUGAACUUUUUAAUUAUGUAAGCCUAUGUGUGUGUGUGUGUGUGUGUGUGUGUGUGUGUGUGUGUGUGUGUAUACACAUAUAUAUAUCUUUGCUUGCUCAAGAGAAUUUUAGUUGAUUUAUUUAUCACUUGUAACCUAAAUUAUCCCAAUGCUAUAAAAUUAUCAUCCAAAGAACCCUUAUUUUAACUUUAAGUUUUUCAAUUUUUUUAAAAAAAUUUACGACCACACAGGAGUGUAUAUGGACAUUCCAGGGCCAGGGAUUGAAUCUUCGCUACAGUUGUGAUGUACAUUUCAGCUGUGGCAACACUGGGUCCUUUAACCCACUAGUCUUGGCUGGUGAUCAAACAAGCACCUCCACAGCAACCUGAACUGUUACAGUCAGAUUCUUAACCCAGUGUGCCAAGGUGGGAACUCCCAGUUCAAAGAAAUUUUAUGUGUUUAUUUUUUUCUAAUUGUGAGAAUGGCUCCUCAUGAUGUUAAAAUAAGAAUAGAACCUUUUUUUUUUUCUUUUUUUUUUUUUUUUUUUUUUUUUUUUUUUAGGGCCACACCUGUGAGACCCUAAAAAGGAAAAAAAAAAAUUAUUAAGACAGAUUAGCAUAAGAAAAGCAUCAAAUUUACUUAACUUUUGUGUGACUUGGGAGCCCUCAUAAGGAAAUGAAGUGUCAAAUUUAAAUACUUUUAUACCAGUGUGGGAAAGUAACUAAAAUAUACAGGGAGGCUAAAGGAAGAUAAGAAUAAUUUUUAACAAGGUCUGUUUGGACAGAAUUCUCUCAGCUUUGAUUCUCUGUCAAAGUAUGUUUCUUGAUCCUAAUCCAGGGAGGGCAUUUCUCAAUGGAAUUUUUAUUCCUUUUUCAAGAAUAAAAGGGGAGGUCCUUUGAAGAGAUAAACAAAAUUAACAAACUUCUGGCUAGAGCAACCAAGAAAA
rnacentral:lncRNA from 1 species